rnacentral:rRNA from 1 species
UGGGGAAUAUUGCACAAUGGACGGAAGUUUGAUGCAGCGACGCCGCGUGGAGGGUGUAGGCCUUCGGGUUGUGAACUCCUUUUUCUCGUGAAAAAGGCACAGUUUUGGCCGUGUUGACGGUAGUGGGGAAGAAGCGCCGGCUAACUACGUCCCAGCAGCCGCGGUAAUACGUAGGGCGCGAGCGUUGUCCGGAUUUAUUGGGCGUAAAGAGCUCGCAGGUGGUUCGUCGCGUCUGUCGUGAAAGCCGGCAGCUUAACUGUUGGUCUGCGGUGGGUACGGACGGGAUUGAGUGCGGUAGGGGUGACUGAAAUUCCUGGUGUAGCCGUGGAAUGCGCAGAUAUCAGGAGAAAAACCGAUGGCGAAGGCAGGUCACGGGGCCGUUACUGACACUAAGGAGCGAAAGCGUGGGGAGCGAACAGG